GACAGAGGGGGCAAGCGUUGCUCGGAAUUACUGGGCGUAAAGAGCGCGCAGGCGGUCGUUCAAGUCGCGUGUGAAAGCCCCCCGGCUCAACUGGGGAGGGUCACGCGAUACUGAUCGACUGGAAGGCAGGAGAGGGUAGUGGAAUUCCCGGUGUAGUGGUGAAAUGCGUAGAUAUCGGGAGGAACACCAGUGGCGAAGGCGGCUCGCUGGACCGGUUCUGACGCUGAGGCGCG
rnacentral:rRNA from 1 species